rnacentral:rRNA from 1 species
UACGGAGGGUGCAAGCGUUAUCCGGAUUCACUGGGUUUAAAGGGUGCGUAGGUGGGCAAGUAAGUCAGUGGUGAAAUCUCCGGGCUUAACCCGGAAACUGCCAUUGAUACUAUUUGUCUUGAAUACUGUGGAGGUCAGCGGAAUAUAUCAUGUAGCGGUGAAAUGCUUAGAUAUGACAUAGAACACCAAUUGCGAAGGCAGCUGGCUACACAAAUAUUGACACUGAGGCACGAAAGCGUGGGGAUCAAACAGG